rnacentral:misc_RNA from 1 species
GUAGGUGAACCUGCGGAAGGAUCAUUACAGUGUUCCCUGCCCUUCACGGGUAGAAACGCCACCCUUGUGUAUUAUUAUCAUGUUGCUUUGGCAGGACGCCCUCGGGCACCGGCUUCGGCUGGCUCGCGCCUGCCAGAGAACCCCAAACUCUGAAUGUUAGUGUCGUCUGAGUACUAUCUAAUAGUUAAAACUUUCAACAACGGAUCUCUUGGUUCUG